GCCUUUGUGGUGUAAAUGAAAAACACGUCCAGCUGGAAAUUCGAAAGUCCAGAGUUCUAAUUCCGGCAACGGCG
rnacentral:tRNA from 1 species